GUGUGGGGGUCACCACAGAUGAUCCUAUAUUAAUUUACCAUUUCAUCUAUGUAAAGCUUAGCUCGAAACGCCAUUCCUUACUCCAAUUUCCCUUUUCUGGGAGAGCAGCCCCUGGGGGAAUGUGUAAUUGAACUGGAGAGACUGGUCUGGAGAAAACUAUGGCUACACAAUGGUUACCGGGCCUUAAGGUGGUAUGCAAUCCAGCAGAACCCGUGGCUUGCAGACGACCCUUUGGAGGGUGAGGACUAUGUUGGCCCUGGCCUAUUGUGGGAGUCCUUUGAGGAGUGGAUGUUGGGAGCUCAGUGGUGCUCCAAUUCUGGAACAUCUGUGAACUUAAAGGGACACUAUAAGACCAGGAAAAAUCAGAAAUCUUAACUAUUUUUCUUCAGUAUAUAUUAAUGAGGAUCCUAUGGCAAGAUAUAUGCAAAUGAUUGCUGCAAGAAACUUGCAGAUAACUUGUGAUUAGAUAACUUGAGACAAGGUGC